rnacentral:rRNA from 1 species
AGAGUUUGAUCCUGGCUCAGGAUGAACGCUAGCGACAGGCUUAACACAUGCAAGUCGAGGGGCAGCAUAAAAGUAGCAAUACUUUGGUGGCGACCGGCGCACGGGUGAGUAACGCGUAUGCAACCUACCUAUCAGAGGGGAAUAACCCGGCGAAAGUCGGACUAAUACCGCAUAAAACAGGGGCACCGCAUGGUGAUAUUUGUUAAAGAGAUUCGCUGAUAGAUGGGCAUGCGUUCCAUUAGGUGGUUGGUGAGGUAACGGCUCACCAAGCCGACGAUGGAUAGGGGAACUGAGAGGUUGGUCCCCCACACUGGUACUGAGACACGGACCAGACUCCUACGGGAGGCAGCAGUGAGGAAUAUUGGUCAAUGGGCGGGAGCCUGAACCAGCCAAGUCGCGUGAAGGAAGAAGGAUCUAUGGUUCGUAAACUUCUUUUGCAGGGGAAUAAAGUGCGGGACGUGUCCUGUUUUGUAUGUACCCUGAGAAUAAGGACCGGCUAACUCCGUGCCAGCAGCCGCGGUAAUACGGAGGAUCCGAGCGUUAUCCGGAUUUAUUGGGUUUAAAGGGUGCGUAGGUGGUUUGAUAAGUCAGCGGUGAAAGUUUGCAGCUUAACUGUAAAAAUGCCGUUGAAACUGUCGGACUUGAGUGUAAAUGAGGUAGGCGGAAUGCGUGGUGUAGCGGUGAAAUGCAUAGAUAUCACGCAGAACUCCGAUUGCGAAGGCAGCUUACUAAGCUACAACUGACACUGAAGCACGAAAGCGUGGGGAUCAAACAGGAUUAGAUACCCCGGUAGU